GUGCUCACUUCGGCAGCACAUACACUGAAAUGGAACGAUACAGAGAAGAUUAGCAUGUCCCCUACUCGAGGGUGACACGCAAAUUCCCGAAGUGUUCCACAUAAAA
ensembl:snRNA U6 U6 spliceosomal RNA